ensembl:lncRNA
GACAAGGAGAAUGCUGAGGUGCUCCAACAUUUUUUGCACUAGUCUUCACUGGCAACCUCUCUUCAAACAGCAUUCGAGUGGAGGAAUUGUAAGUUCCAGGCACCUGUCCAGAAGAGAAGAAAUACAUACCCCAGGGGGCUUUGCGGUCAGAGGGAAGAUAUUACCCCUGGUUUAUGACUUCUUCAAGGAACGGUGGGAGAGAGAUCCACCUGUGGGACUUCUGCAAUUACAUUGAAUAUUUGUGUGCUCAUUUGAAGAAGGAAAGAGAGGGAGAGAGAGAGGGAGAUACCCAUGCUGCAGCCCAUGGAUGAGGCCAAAAUAGGGUUGGUGAGCAUGACAUGAAUGAGACUGAAAUCUGACAAUAGGAGCCUGUAGAGAAGGAUGCUGUGGGGAUCUGCACCCCGUGGUGAACACAUGC